AACGAACGCUGGCGGCAUGCCUAACACAUGCAAGUCGAACGAGACCUUCGGGUCUAGUGGCGCACGGGUGCGUAACGCGUGGGAACCUGCCCUUAGGUUCGGAAUAACUCCCCGAAAGGGGUGCUAAUACCGGAUAAUGUCUUCGGACCAAAGAUUUAUCGCCUUUGGAUGGGCCCGCGUUGGAUUAGCUAGUUGGUAGGGUAAAAGCCUACCAAGGCGACGAUCCAUAGCUGGUCUGAGAGGAUGAUCAGCCACACUGGGACUGAGACACGGCCCAGACCUCCUCGGGGGGGCAGAGGGGGGAAAUAUUGACAAUGGGGCGAAAGCCUGAUCCACCAUGCCGGGUUGAGGGAUGAAGGCUUGGGGUUUGAAAACUUUUUUUCCCGGGAAUGAAAAGACAGGACCGGGAGAAAAAACCCCGGCCAACCCCGU
rnacentral:rRNA from 1 species